rnacentral:rRNA from 1 species
GACGAAGGGGGCUAGCGUUGUUCGGAAUUACUGGGCGUAAAGCGAGUGUAGGUGGUUGUCCAAGUUGGAUGUGAAAGCCUUGAGCUCAACUCAAGAAAUGCAUUCAGGACUGGAUGGCUAGAGGACCGGAGAGGAUAGUGGAAUUCCCAGUGUAGUGGUGAAAUACGUAGAGAUUGGGAAGAACACCAGGUAGGCGAAGGCGGCUGCCUGGCCGUGUUCUUGACGCUGAGGCGCGGAAAGCUGGGGGAGCAAACGGG